GGUGAACGCUGGCGGCGUGCCUAAUACAUGCAAGUCGAGCGAACAGACGAGGAGCUUGCUCCUCUGACGUUAGCGGCGGACGGGUGAGUAACACGUGGAUAACCUACCUAUAAGACUGGGAUAACUUCGGGAAACCGGAGCUAAUACCGGAUAAUAUAUUGAACCGCAUGGUUCAAUAGUGAAAGACGGUUUUGCUGUCACUUAUAGAUGGAUCCGCGCCGCAUUAGCUAGUUGGUAAGGUAACGGCUUACCAAGGCAACGAUGCGUAGCCGACCUGAGAGGGUGAUCGGCCACACUGGAACUGAGACACGGUCCAGACUCCUACGGGAGGCAGCAGUAGGGAAUCUUCCGCAAUGGGCGAAAGCCUGACGGAGCAACGCCGCGUGAGUGAUGAUGGUCUUCGGAUCGUAAAACUCUGUUAUUAGGGAAGAACAAAUGUGUAAGUAACUAUGCACGUCUUGACGGUACCUAAUCAGAAAGCCACGGCUAACUACGUG
rnacentral:rRNA from 1 species